GAGUCUUGCUCAGUAAGCGCUAUCUUUGUCAGGAUAUCCCUACCACGACUCCAAGGAAGACGAGGACUACGCGCGUGACGGAGAGCGAGGACGACUGCAAAGCCUCUCAACGUGCUGCCAGGUCCAGUGGAGUUCAGAGUCAAGUUCAGUCAUCUACCUCUGUUAAACUAUCUGGAUUUCACAAGAGAGUUAUAGCCAAUUCAAGCUACGCAGAGAUUCCUGUACUGCUGGACACAUAGGAUGCUUGGAAACCUCGGACCACAGCACCGUUCAUUUCAACCCAGAUCAUCACACUACAUACCACUUGAAGACUAUUCGACGUUCGUUGAUUCAAAUUCCAAGGCGUCGUUUCAUCGACAGAUUUCUUGAGAACAGAUGGGCACAUUUCGCAACUGUGAUAUCGGAUUGAGACAUGUGUUCUAGCUUGUUAUAGUAGAUACUUUGUUAGUUAUGUAUUAGAUGAAACUUAGUAAUAAUGAUUUGUGCUCUAUUUGUAUUAGUCGUGUGUCUGGUCUUAAUGGUGACUGCUUUGUAUAAAACUAUGUGACAUCUCUGUGAGCUAAUAAAUAAGUUCACCAUCAUUAGUUUUC